rnacentral:rRNA from 1 species
GGGCUCGCAGGCGGUUUCUUAAGUCUGAUGUGAAAGCCCCCGGCUCAACCGGGGAGGGUCAUUGGAAACUGGGAAACUUGAGUGCAGAAGAGGAGAGUGGAAUUCCACGUGUAGCGGUGAAAUGCGUAGAGAUGUGGAGGAACACCAGUGGCGAAGGCGACUCUCUGGUCUGUUACUGACGCUGAAGAGCGAAAGCGUGGGGAGCGAACAGGAUUAAAUACCCUGGUAGUCCACGCCGUAAACGAUGAAUGCUAACUGUUAGGGGGUUUCCCCCCCUUUAUGCUGCCUCUAA